rnacentral:sRNA from 1 species
AAUAAAAAAAGGAAAAAAAAAAUCGGUAUCGUUU